GAUGAACGCUGGCGGCGUGCUUAACACAUGCAAGUCGAACGAAGCAACUUAAGACAAUCCCUUCGGGGUGCGACUUUUGUUGACUGAGUGGCGGACGGGUGAGUAACGCGUGGGUAACCUGCCUUGUACAGGGGGAUAACAGUUAGAAAUGACUGCUAAUACCGCAUAAGCGCACAGAACCGCAUGGUUCCGUGUGAAAAACUCCGGUGGUACAAGAUGGACCCGCGUCUGAUUAGCUAGUUGGUGGGGUAACGGCCUACCAAGGCGACGAUCAGUAGCCGACUUGAGAGAGUGAUCGGCCACAUUGGGACUGAGACACGGCCCAA
rnacentral:rRNA from 1 species